rnacentral:rRNA from 1 species
UACGGAGGGUGCAAGCGUUAUCCGGAUUUACUGGGGUUAAAGGGUGCGUAGGUGGGCCUGUAAGUCAGUGGUGAAAUCUUCAAGCUUAACUUGGAAACUGCCAUUGAUACUAUAGGUCUUGAAUUAUCUGGAGGUAAGCGGAAUAUGUCAUGUAGCGGUGAAAUGCUUAGAGAUGACAUAGAACACCCAUUGCGAAGGCAGCUUACUACGGAUUGAUUGACACUGAGGCACGAAAGCGUGGGGAUCAAACAGG